AAAGUUAAACUGCUAGCUAAAAGUUUGAACCAAGAAGGAUAAUAUUAACAGGAGAUAUGAAUGAAAGAAUUGAACCAUGAUAAAACGCGACAUGCACUACAAAUUGAAGGUAUGAAAUUAAGUUAAAUGAAAGCUCGUUUAUUCACCAUAUGAUGCUCGUUAUGAGGUAACGUUAAUCAUAUAGGCUAGAUACCGUGAGUUAACGAGGUCGUUUACAUGCACGCGAGUGCACGGAUAUCGGUUAAUUAUUCAAAUUACUGAAAAACACGGAGACAACCGCAUUGCCAUGUGUUUUUCCAAGAUGUAUGCAAACAGGGGAAAUAUCACCAAACCAACAAUUCUUUUUACCAAAACCUCACUAUAUAUCAUCAUUUGUAUGCACAGAUUGCUGGAUUGGAUGCAUUGUGUGUUGUAAGCUUUUCGUGGCGCUAGAUGUCAGACAGAUGCAAAUGGCAAAUACAUACGAAAGUGUAAAACGUGUAUGGCGAACAUUUGUUUUUCUGUCAUUAUAGAUGCUAGUUUGGUGAAAGUACACACUGAGUGCUUCAAAUCAUUCAGACGAGAUGCUGUUUUUAGGGCAGUUUAUUAAAGAAGACCUGACAUGGAUGACUUCCAAUGAGAAACGACUGCUAAUACUUAUAUAAAUUCAUUACAGAAGGACCCUACCAGACUAUAUUUGAAUACGGCAUACCCAUGAAUUCUGAACUGUUAUUCCUUAACCCAGUUUGGAGGAUAAGAGCUUACCAACUAGUUAUAAAUAUGCUGAGGCGAUGUAUUGCAAAAUAGCCAACAUACAGCAAUUAAAGGAUAAUUGCAGACUAUAUCCUGAUGAAGAUAUGGACGACCCUCUGUCUGGUCAACAAUAGUUUAAAUAUGGAUGGGACAGUGAUGUGGCAGCUCUUCCCUGACUCAUUCACCUCUUGCCUUAAUUUGUGAAAGGAAGAAAGACUGGAGAGGGUCAAUGUGCAACUGAAGCUACUGAUUGUGCUGUGUGAUGAGCAUCAAUCCAUGCUUUGAGGUGGAUGGAUCAGCACAGCCCUGCCUGCUCUGCGUUGGGAACAGAAGUUGCAUCCAGAGUUUUUGCAUCAUUCUGGACCAAAAAGCCAUUCCCUCCAUGAUGAAGACCACUGAUGCAGCCUUCCACUACAUCAUGAGUAAAACAACUACAGAACUUAAUACCAGGUUGGAACGUAUUUAAGAAAAAUGAAACGUCUUUUGAAUUGAAAUGUCUGUUUUGUUAUGGAUAAAUCUUUAGUAUUGUGAAGGAUAAGCAUUUCUGCUUGCCGAUAAGGUAAUUGCAUGUAUUUUAAUAUUCAAGUUUUGAGUAGGGUGGCUAAUUUUUUUUAACUCUCAUUUGAUUUAUUAAAGACUUUAUAAUAAGUGGUUUUCAUGUCACUGCGCUGUGGUAUAAGAUAAAUUUCAUUAUUCCAUACUGUAUUCUGUUUCUAAUUGUAGCUGAGGUAUUUAAAUAAGCAGUGUUAAAUGCAAAGUGUUGUGUGUAUCAAUGUAAAUAUUAAAUGUGAUGUACUUUAAUAAAAAGAGGUUUUGCAAUAUUUCUUGUCAUUUGUCUUUUAUAGAAACAACCCAUUAGCAACAAAAGUGGCUAUUAAUCAGUAUUUUAACACUUAACAUUGUUGAAUUCACAUUACACUGGUGUUGACCUUAAAUUAGG